GAACUCGCAACUAAAAUUUUGCAUAGGUUACGGGCUCCUGGCCGGCCAUUUAUAGCCUUUGAUCUUGGGAUGACAAGAGAUGCUUUGGCAUAUUAUGGCUGUGCUGAACUCUUCCAGGUUGUGCACACUGAACUCAUUCAGCACAAACGAGCCUGGAUGAUAAAACGUGGGAUUGUCACGGGGAAGCUAUCUGUAAAUUCUGUUGAGCAACGCCACAAUGGUUCAUGUCCAUUA
rnacentral:misc_RNA from 1 species